rnacentral:rRNA from 1 species
UACGUAGGGGGCAAGCGUUGUCCGGAUUUAUUGGGCGUAAAGAGCUCGUAGGUGGUUCGGUAAGUCGGAUGUGAAAUCUCCAGGCUCAACCUGGAGGGGUCAUUCGAUACUGCCGUGACUAGAGGUCGGUAGGGGAGUGUGGAAUUCCUGGUGUAGCAGUGAAAUGCGUAGAUAUCAGGAGGAACACCGAUGGCGAAGGCAGGUCUCUGGGCUGACACUGACGCUCAUGCACGAAAGCGUGGGGAGCAAACAGG